CGGAGCUCCUCCUCCUCUGACCUUGGUGUUCCCUCUCCUAUUUCUCACUCCUUUUUUUGUUCCCUCUUCCCUGAAACAGGCUGCCCAGGGAAGUGGUUGAGUCACCAUCCUGGAGAUUCCUGCAAUUAUUUUCACUGCACUGCACCACUAGAAUUGGGUCCUAAUUCAGCAAAAUUUAACUACUCUAGAAUGGCAGCUUCUCAGGCCCUGCCAGUGAGGGGGCUGAAGGGGCACAAGAAGCCGGGAGGGAGCAGAGCCAGGACAGCUGACCCGAACCGGUCAAAGGGAUAUUCCAUACCAUAGAGCGUCACGCUCAGUAUAUAAACUGGGGGGAGUUGGUCGGGAGGGGCCGAUGGCUGCUCGGGGACUGGCUGGGCAUCGGUCAGCGGGUGGUGAGCAGCUGUACUG